UUGCAAUCAAAACUCCUGGCCUUUGAUCCUACGCUGUUCUUUCAAGACAAUAUGGCGCUUGGGCCGUGGCGAAGGGAGCCACCAGGGUGCAGAGUGGAAACGCUCGUAUCUCCCGACUUAGGAAAGGUGUGAUAGUGCCGCAACU
rfam:Serratia symbiotica genome assembly, type strain CWBI-2.3T, contig: SYMBAF_Contig_2